CAGCAGCCGCGGUAAUACCGAGGAUGCAAGCGUUAUCCGGAAUUACUGGGCGUAAAGCGUGCGCAGGCGGUUUUGUAAGACAGGCGUGAAAUCCCCGGGCUCAACCUGGGAAUGGCGCUUGUGACUGCAAAGCUAGAGUGCGGCAGAGGGGGAUGGAAUUCCGCGUGUAGCAGUGAAAUGCGUAGAUAUGCGGAGGAACACCGAUGGCGAAGGCAAUCCCCUGGGCCUGCACUGACGCUCAUGCACGAAAGCGUGGGGAGCAAACAGGAUUAGAUACCCGAGUAGUCCCUGUCUCUUAUAC
rnacentral:rRNA from 1 species